AGAAGACCCUGCACGUCAGGGAAAAUCAAAUAGUUCUGUAAGGCUUGAGUGAAUGUGUAUGCUUGGGAGUGUUUACAUAUGAGGCUUCUGGAGGUUAAAAAAGUAAUAUUAGACGACAGAAAGGCAGAGGUUUGAAAGGAAAUAUUGGUACACACAACAUUACUGGUAAAUGGUUAACAACCAGCUCAUUGGGGAGGGAGGAGGGGAGGG